AUUGAACGCUGGCGGCAGGCCUAACACAUGCAAGUCGAACGGUAACAGGAAGCAGCUUGCUGCUUCGCUGACGAGUGGCGGACGGGUGAGUAAUGUCUGGGAAGCUGCCUGAUGGAGGGGGAUAACUACUGGAAACGGUAGCUAAUACCGCAUAAUGUCGCAAGACCAAAGAGGGGGACCUUCGGGCCUCUUGCCAUCGGAUGUGCCCAGGUGGGAUUAGCUUGUUGGUGGGGUAACGGCUCACCAAGGCGACGAUCCCUAGCUGGUCUGAGAGGAUGACCAGCCACACUGGAACUGAGACACGGUCCAGACUCCUACGGGAGGCAGCAGUGGGGAAUAUUGCACAAUGGGCGCAAGCCUGAUGCAGCCAUGCCGCGUGUAUGAAGAAGGCCUUCGGGUUGUAAAGUACUUUCAGCGGGGAGGAAGGGAGUAAAGUUAAUACCUUUGCGCAUUGACGUUACCCGCAGAAGAAGCACCGGCUAACUCCGUG
rnacentral:rRNA from 1 species